rnacentral:misc_RNA from 1 species
UACAGAGGCCUCGAGCGUUAUCCGGAAUCAUUGGGCGUAAAGGGUGUGUAGGUGGUUAUAUUAGUCUUGUGUUAAAUCUUCGGGCUCAACUCGAAGCAGGCACGGGAAACGGUAUAACUCGAGGAUGCGAGGGGUGUACGGAACUCAUGGAGUAGGGGUGAAAUCCGUUGAUAUCAUGGGGAACACCAAAAGCGAAGGCAGUACACUGGCGCACUCCUGACACUGAAACACGAAAGCUAGGGUAGCGAACGGG